rnacentral:lncRNA from 1 species
UGCAGGAGCUUUUAGCCCGGAAAUCAGGCAAGAUAGCAAGGCAACUGCAGAAGAACCCGCACUACGACGAUCUCUGGCGCGACGUCAACACCGAUGAAGAAUCCAUGGAGCUACUUGCAAAAUUCUGCCAUGGCUAUGACAUCGACCUCUCACCGGAAAACGUGGUUCCCUUAGCUUGCGUAGCAAAAUCCCUCGACAUGACGGACACCCAUUGCCCCAACAAUCUGUUGAGCAAGACGGUGUCGUUUUUUGAAGAACACGUUAUGCAUAGCUGGGACAACUCCAUCAAAGCCAUCAAGUGCGCCGAGAGAGUGCUCAGGCAAGCGGAUGAGCUCGGCCUAUUGGACUGCUGCGUUGAGACGCUCAUCUUGAAGGCGCUCGAGGAUCCGCGUCUAUUGGGGGAGCCUUUGAUGAGGAACGAUGAUGAAAAUGAAGCUGAAGAUAAUUAUAUUAGGCCUAACACUAGGAGGAAACUCUUCGUCAUGGAAUGGAAAAACGAAGAUCUCACCACUCUCCCUUUGAAGCUUUAUGCGUCGAUCCUCAGAGCCAUGAUCCAGCGCCAAGUGCCGCCACAAUUUGUGGCGGCGAAUCUAUUCCGAUACGCCAAGAAUUGGAUACUGUGCAAGGAGGAGGUGAGAGGUGAGAGAGAGACGAUUGAGAUUUUGGUGAGGCUGAUUCCUCAGCAAACAGGGCUGCUUCCGUGCACGUUUCUGUGUGAAAUGCUUCGUUUGGCCAUUGUUGUUGAAGCUGAUGCGGAGUGCAGAAACGCGUUGGAGCUGAGGAUCGGGAUGCAGUUAGAGCAGGCGGAGACGAAGGAUCUUGUGAUGGCUUGUAGCCAUGGAUAUGAAAAAUACAAUGCGGAGUGCUUGAGAAGGAUCGUGAGCAAUUUCUACAGCAACGACAGCGUGGAUAACUUGGGAGCGCUGAGGUCGGUGGCGGAGCUGAUGGAGGAGUUCCUGGCAGAGAUCGCGGCGGACAUAGAUCUGAAGACGUCGACGUUUCUGCAGGUUGCUGAGCUGUCGGCUGCAGCGGCGGAGGGAGCUAAUCAGAGAAGCUGCGACGGAAUGUACAGGGCGGUGGACGUGUUCCUGGAUAAGCACAGGCAUUUGACGGAGUCGGAGAAGGAGGAUUUAUGCGGCAAGGUUUUGGACUGCAAUAGGCUGUCUGGUGAGGCACUGCAGCAUGCGGCCUCAAACGAGAGGCUGCCGCUGCGAGUGGUGAUGCACGCGCUGUUCGCAUCGCAGUUGAGGCUGCGGGAAGCGAUACCGAAAGUUGAAGGAGGUGGAGGUGAAGUAGAGGAGGAGGUGAGGGCGGAGAUGGAGAAGAUGGGGAGCAAAGUGUCGAAGCUAGAGAGAGAGUGCAACGUGAUUAAGAAAGAGAUGGCGAGAAAUUGUGUGAAGAGGGAAAAGGUGAGCGUGUGGAGGGAGAUGAAGAGGAAGUUCGGGUGCAUGACUACCACCCAUCACUGCGACUGUCAUGUCAAGAAGAAGAAGGUGCAUCCUAGAUGAUUCUUAUUGAUCUUCAUAUUUGUUAUAUUUUGGAUGAUACUUUCUUUAUUUUUUAUUACACAUUAAUUUUACUUUAAGUUUCCUUUAACAGAAAUGCUGCGUUGGAGAAUAUAAGGGCUAAAUUUCGUUCUAAAUCAUUUAUGAAAAGUACAUUUGUCAGAUAAUAUGUAUUUGAGUAAAUAUGAGUAUUUUUUUUUCUAAGGCAGGAGUAAAUGUAUACAUUGAGUAAAUAAAAUAUAAAUACUUCACUUCUGUUGUUCCGAAAAAUCAGUUAAAAUUGUUUAACAGCAAUAACAGAAAAGUUUGAAGUUGAGAUAAUACACAAAUCCGAAAUGAAAAAUGAAUGAGAAUUAGUUGAGGAAAAUGGGGAUGUUAAUAUAAAUCGAAAAUUGUUUCUCUUUUUGGGGUUGCAAUUUGCGCCGCAGCGUUUCCAUCUCUUUCUCCCCCAUCGUCUUCUAUUGUAGCAAAUGCUAAAUGCUACCAUCUCUCGAAACAACUGACACUCAAAUCUAGAUUAGUUCAGCAUCAUCGCUUACUCUCAAGUCAAAUACGCACCAACUCCCUCAACUGUAUAUAUCUCUCUACACGCAGUAAACCCUCUCAACUCAACAAUUCAAUUUGUUUGCGUUGCGCUACUCACUGCGUGAAAAGAUGCAGCAAAAUCUCGCUUCCAAAGCCAGGUAAAAUCAAUAAAUCAUGAACCAUAAAUGCAAUAAUUCGUGCUUUGAUUGUUAAAACUCAUCUUUUUACUUUGUUUUAAUUGCGGCUUUUUUUUUUCUUUUUGGUUUUUAAAAUAAAUAAAAAUAAAUUAAGUAUGAUUGAUUUAUUUUGGUCUGUAUAUCGAUUUCCUUUUGUGGUUGUGGAUAAUGUGAUUUUUUGGCGGGAAAAUGGCCAAACAUGGCUGAAAUUGGCUUUUAUAUAUACACUAGUACUAGUAUUGUAUCUGUGCGAUGCGCAACAUAAAUAAUAUAAAAAUUUUAUAUACACAAAGUGUUAAUUUAUCAGCUAAUUAAUAAUAUCGAAAGGUAAAUUAAAAUAAAAUUUAGUAAAUAGGAGUACUAUAUUUAAAAGUAUUACUCCAUCAUAAGUUGACUAACUAAUAAUAAUUGAAUUAAUCCGAAUAUUGUAGCUCAAUACUUCAUUUGUUCACCAAAAGAAUGAUAUUUUUAGUGGGCACGCAUGUUUAAUAGUAAAAAAAUUAAUAAAGGGAUAUAGUCAAUUCAUCCACGAAAAAGAGUCUCAUCCCUUUUUCUUGUCCACGAAAAAGAAUUUUAUUUUACUUUUUGAACCAUCACAUCUUACAUUUUCUCUUAUAUUUAAUUAUAAAUUAUACUUUUAUUCUAUUUUUUAACUAAUAAUGUACAUGUAUUUUAUUUGUUUGUACUAACACUACCUCUACAAAAUGUACCUUUAUUCCACUUACAAUAAGUUUAAUAAAUUUAUUAAAACUCGUGUCUACCCUCAAAUAUGACUAUUUUUUCGUGGACACAUGAAGUACUUAUUAGAAGAUAUUCAAGUAAUAAAGACCAUUAGCGUUAAUAGAGAUAUUUAUUGUUCAAUCACUACCGUUUCCCUUCCUCAUCUGAAAAAUUUACAAAAUUAUGUGUAUUAGUGUACAUAGGGGUGGGAAUCGGGUCGGGUUUGGGUACCCUACCCGAAAAAAUUGGGUACCCGAACCCGAAAAUUGACCAAAACCCCUACCCGAUCCCGAACCCGAUUCUGAAAUCGGGUACCCUAAUACCCGAGUCGGGUAUCCGAUUCGGGUAUUCGGGUACCCAAAAUUACCCGAUUAAUGAUUGAAAUUAGACUCCUCAAAGUCAAAAAAAAAUUGAAGAGAAAUCCGCAAAAGAAAAAGGAAGAAGCAUACCUGCUGACUGGCGACUGCUGUGCUGUUUGAGCUCGGAGGCGGGGCGGUGGCCGGUGGAGGCCUGGAGUGCUAACUGCGACGUCGGCUGUGGGUGGGUUCGACGGGGACGGGGACUGGAACUGGAACUGGAACAGGGGGAGGCCGAGUGGUGGCGCAGGAGGGCGACGACGGGCAGAUGAAAGGCGCCGGCGCGCCACUGGGUGGGAGGCCGGAGGCGGGACGGGGAGGCAGGGAAUAGGGGCGGAUUCGGCUGAAGUUAGAGGCAGGGAAUAGGGUUUGGCCGUUUGGGUUUCAAACUUAAUUGAUUUAAACUUAAAAAAUUAAAUUUAAUUCAAUAAUUUAAAAUCGGGUAUUUCGGGUAUACCCGAUACCCGAUUUUUUUACACCCUAACUAUCCGAACCCGACCCCGACCCCUAAUUUUUCGGGUAUAAGGUACCCGAUACCCGAUUUUUUCGGGUCGGGUAUCGGGUACCCAAUUACCCGAUCCCGAAAUUCCCAGGCCUAAGUGUACAAAUAGAUAGAUAGAUUGGUUUUAGGAAUCAACAGCCAACACUAUAUAAGAUAAUUUUUGAAACCAUAAUUGGAUUAUAACUUGAAAUUUAAAGCUCAACUAUUAUUUCAAAUAAAGAGAACUUAAAGCCAAAAACUAUUACUCCCUCCGUCCCAGCUUUUAGUAUCCAACUUUUCUUUUUUGGCCGUCCCACAUUUUAGUAUCCACUUCUAUUUUUAGUAAAAGUAGGUGGGGCCCUUACUCCACUUUAAUUAGUAUUUUAACUCUCACAUAAAAUGUGGGACCCUUAUUCCACUCACAACACAUCAAUCACUUUAUUAAAACCCUUAUCGUUCUCAACUGGAUACCAAAAGCCGGGACGGAGGGAGUACUAUAUAAAAAAAAGGCCAAAUAAAAAGAAGCCCAGCCCUUUACGCAAACCAGCAACCAAUUUCUUAAAAAAAAUUACUUACAUUUAACAAAAACAAUACCUUUAAGUAACGCACAAAAAUAAUUAAACAAUAGGUAUAAAAUAGAGAGCAACCCUAAUGUCAAUUCUAAAAUCUAAAUCAGUGCCCCUUCUUUUCUUAUUUCUCAUCAGCGGCACUUCUUCUUAUUCCUUCAGCAGCAAUGUUUCUUCUUCCAUCUGCUUCUUUUUUCUGUAUUUAUUGAAUCUAACCAAAACAUCAAACCUGACACUAAAUUAUAGUUAUUUAUUUUUCUACAUGCGAAUUGAUGGGUUCUAUACCCCUCAGAUCAAGAUAGAUUGGGCUGGUGAGUGUGCUUAGGCUUGUAAUUCUCUCAUUCUUUCUUCGUCUCUGAAGUGAAAAGCUUGAGAAACAUAUUUCUUUUAUCCAGAUUCCAGGUUUUAUGCAGAGAUUUUUUUUUCAACAGCCAAGGAAAAGUUUACGUAAAAUGACAUAAAUGAUCUGAUAUUUAUACUAAUCAAUUUCUUGGAGCCAAAGUCUGUAUCUUCAUUUGUUUCGUGGAUAAUAUGAUAUUUAAAUGGGUAUUGACCAGUAGCAGAUUACACAAUAAAUAAAGGCCAAAACUCGUAGAAAUCAGUGUCUAUUAUCCAACAGAUAAAUAACUUAUAAGUUCACUGCAAAAACAAUUAUAGCAAUGGGGAAACUUUUGCAGCUGAAAACUUUGCUUAUAUAUAUAUGUAUAAGAUAUAGUAGAUAUAGAUAUAGAUAGAGAUAUAGAUUUCUAUCACUGAGGAUUAAAAUUCGUUACGAUAUGCUCCUUAUUGUUUCUUGUUUCUUGUUUCUUUCUGAUUGAUUUACAGCAUUGUGAAGGUGAGUAGAGGUGCUUCUAUAUAUGAAAUGGCUGCAGCUAGAAAAGGAUUAAUAGAAUCCCAAGCAGGUAAAUUAAAUUAAACAAACUCUAAUCGUUUUCUUCAAUUCAUAUUUUUGUCCCACUUGUUUAAUUUUGUUGUUAUUGUAGGAGGCAUCGUCCCCUAUUAAAAUCUGAACUCCAUCCUGGACAAAUUUUCACACUGGAUACGGUAAACUAACAGAAUUAAGCAGACGAUCGAGAUCAUCUAUUCUGAAUUAAUUAAUUCUGAAUUACAUAAAACUGCAGGAGAUUUUAGCCCGGAAAUCAGGCAAGAUAGCAAGGCAACUGCAGAAGAACCCGCACUACGACGAUCUCCGGCGCGACGUCAACACCGAUGAAGAAUCCAUGGAGCUACUUGCAAAAUUCUGCCAUGGCUAUGACAUCGACCUCUCACCGGAAAACGUGGUUGCCUUAGCCUGCGUAGCAAAAUCCCUCGACAUGACGGACACCCAUUGCCCCAACAAUCUGUUGAGCAAGACGGUGUCGUUUUUUGAAGAACACGUUAUGCAUA